AGGUAACAGCGAAGUGAUUCACCGGCUAGGAGACCGUAGCUAUACAUGUUGUCGGCAUUUUUCCGCCAAGUCUGCGACCAGUGCCUCAGGAGAUGUUUACGAAGGAGUGUCCAUUCGACAAGAAAAAUUCUUUGAAGUUGCUGGCAAGAAUAAAGCCUAUAUCGCAAAUGACUGGGAUAACAGAAGAAAGCCACUCCCUCCUGACAGGAUCAUCCAGAAUGCCAAGGACAAGGUGGGCGAGCAGGGCUACAACUUCAUCUUCAAUAACUGUGAACACUUCGCCACUACUUGUCGCUAUGGACAGGCCAGAAGUCGUCAGGUGUAGUACCUGGUGCAUGUAUGGGCAUCGGGUGUGUAGCCAGCGCAGUUGAAGAGUGUCUCUAGUCUCGAUGGUCUAGUCAAGAUGGCCGACCGGGUGUCUACGUGUCAGGGGAGACAAUCACAAGUUGUGAUGCACACCUGGACAUAACAUGAAGUCGGGCGUAGACAUCCAGACACACGACAACUUUUCUCUCCAGACCCUGGAUACGAUCUCCAUACGCC